rnacentral:rRNA from 1 species
GCAACGUCGCUAUGAACGCUUGGCCACCACAAGCCAGUUAUCCCUGUAGUAACCUUUCUGACACCUCUUACUGAAAACUCUUCAGGCCAAGAGGAUCGAUAGGCCGUGCUUUCGCAGUCCCUAUGCUUACUGAACAUCGGGAUCAAGCCAGCAUUUACCCUUUUGCUCUC